rnacentral:rRNA from 1 species
UGGUGGUGCAUGGCCGUUCUUAGUUGGUGGAGUGAUUUGUCUGGUUAAUUCCGAUAACGAACGAGACCUUAACCUGCUAACUAGAUUCAAUUAUACUAUAAUUGAUAUCUUCUUAGAGGGACUAUGUAAUACAAAUACAUGGAAGUUUGAGGCAAUAACAGGUCAGUGAUGCCCUUAUAUGUCCUGGGCUGCACGCGUGCUACACUGAUGCAUACAACAAGUGCCUAACCAGACAUGGUAUGGCAAUCUCGAAUAUGCAUCGUGAUGGGGAUAGAUCUUUGCAAUUA